GUAAAUAUUCAGGGGAGCUUGUGAGCAGGCUGAGAGGAAGUGAUUAAGCUUCGACCCUUAUAACCUGAUUUGGAUAAUACCAGCGUAGGGACGAAACAUUUAAAUUGUG
rnacentral:ncRNA from 1 species